rnacentral:rRNA from 1 species
CGUCAGCUCGUGUUGUGAAAUGUUGGGUUAAGUCCCGCAACGAGCGCAACCCUUAUCCUUUGUUGCCAGCGAUUAGGUCGGGAACUCAAAGGAGACUGCCAGUGAUAAACUGGAGGAAGGUGGGGAUGACGUCAAGUCAUCAUGGCCCUUACGACCAGGGCUACACACGUGCUACAAUGGCGCAUACAAAGAGAAGCGACCUCGCGAGAGCAAGCGGACCUCAUAAAGUGCGUCGUAGUCCGGAUUGGAGUCUGCAACUCGACUCCAUGAAGUCGGAAUCGCUAGUAAUCGUGGAUCAGAAUGCCACGGUGAAUACGUUCCCGGGCCUUGUACACACCGCCCGUCACACCAUGGGAGUGGGUUGCAAAAGAAGUAGGUAGCUUAACCUUCGGGAGGGCGCUUACCACUUUGUGAUUCAUGACUGGGGUGAAGUCGUAACAAGGUAACCGUAGGGGAACCUGCGGUUGGAUCACCUCCUUACCUUAAAGAA